ACUUCAGCAAGAUCGCGGGGAGUGGCUGUAGCUGGAGAUCGCCCCGGCGGCGAGCGGCUACAUCUGGGGAUAUGGGCGUCUUGAGCCGUGGUGAGCAACUGGCGGCGUUGGUGCCUACAUGGUGAUCCGAGCAGCUUCGGCAGUGCUGCGGGCGUAGCAUGCCGGCCAGCCGGUGGGCUUCGACCUCAAGAGCUGAACCAUACGAAGAAGCAGCAUGAGACAUGGAACACUGGUCAUGUUUCCUCACGCUUGAGGUGGGUUAAAUUAUGUGCUGUCUUCCUUAUCUUUUCCUCAUUUUCAGGACAUCCUUUACGUCUAAGCUGGCGUUUCUUGUUUAUCUUUCAAUUUAUCAUUUGGCAAUCAGAUCCUUGUCGAUUUAUAGCAUAGUUAUAUUAUGAUGUUUGUUCUUAAUGGUCAAACUAAUGUUGGUACUACCGUAUGGGGACUAUGUUAAUCUAGUUUUGUACUGGUCCAUAUGGAGUUCUUUGCAUUUGGCACCUGGCGAAUAGCUCAUCAAGUAGGGCUCCCUAAUUUCCGAUGGUUGUGUUUUCAGUCACAAGUAUAUAAAUUGUAUUGUAUAUAUUUAGUUAUUGUGCGGCAUCAGCAGUACCCGUACUUACUGUUCGCAAAAAAUACAGUUCUGGGAGGGUGCUUGGAGAUGUAAUUUCCUUCUUUAUCAUGUAGCUGUUUCCCAUGUGCUUGUUUACUGAUUUAGGCAGUCCGCAACAAGGGAUGACGCUGGCUACUAGAGCCACAUCUCUACCAUUUUGGAUGAGUAAGUGACGAUAUUUUAUCUGGUUCUGCAUCAUCUUGGUUCGUAAUUGUUAUAUUUUACUCGAGAUAGUUAUUUUCCUGUAAAAAAUGAAUCUUUACAUAAGUUGUUAAUUUUUUGGUUAUCCAUCUUUUUUUUAAUUUGUUGACGUCAAUGGUGUCUCCAAUCUAUUUAGUGGCCAUUUCCAGCUAGGUUCUUUGUGAGAGUGCCUAAUUGGAAGCAAUUUGGUCUGGUGCUAAAAUGUUAUCAUGGAACCCCACAAUCUGAUGGAGACAUAUAUCCUCUAUCCUCCAGUUCAGUGGGAUAAUGAGCUAACAUUUGUUUCGAUGAAUGACUGGAUGCUCUUUAUUUUCUCUUCCUUACAAAUGCUUUAGUCAUUUAUAGUUGAUGGUCAUGCUUCUCGAAGUUGUUUUUGUGGAAUUCUUCUCUAAUCUUCAGGUGAGUAUUUUCUCAAUGUAAAAUCCCCAAAUAUCUAUUACGUCACUCUUUCCUGUAUAACCUAUGAAAGUCAGAUCUAACUAAAAGGGGUCAUGUUUUGAUUAUGGUUUUAUAAGGAAGUUACACUAGUGACCAUACAAAUUGUCCACUGCCAUCACUGAUUUUAAAUGGAUCAGAUGUAGUAUUUGCUGCCAUCUUUUAUAUAUAUGGCUGACGACAUGGCAUCCAAUGCUUCAUAAUUGUGGAUUAUAGUCACUUGACUUUAGUAUGUAAGGUUAGGGCAGCAAAUAAUUCCAGCAUUGUUGGGACUGAGUUCUUUUUUACAGAUGAAUUUUGGAGAGCCAUUUAAGUGUUUUCUUGUAACUUUUUCCUGCUUACCUAGAACUAAUGCAAUUGCUUCACUAGCAGUUCACUGUAUAUUUUCACCGGCAUAACAUGCUCAAUAUGUGAUGCUUCUGUUUGAGAAAUAACACUUGCUGAAACUACUGCAUAUGUUUAUACAACAGAUGGACAUAUGAUAAUAUCUCAUCGUAAUCGUAUGUUACAUGUUAUUUUAUUUUGAAGAUCAAGAGAGAUGAUGUUUCCUUCAUGAGGCUAGUAGUAAUGGACCGUAAUGGAGGGUGUGGCUUUUGCAUUCACAACCCUGGUGGGACGAUCCGUGCCGCAAUUAUGGAGCAUUUGCAAGGUUUAUCUAUUGAUCUUCAUGCAGUAGGCAUUGCAUGUGACAAGGAUUCCAGCUCGCACCAGAUUCUGGAACUGAAAAAGUGGCAGUAAAAACUGAUCUGAUACACCAAAGCGAACAGUUGAAAAUUGUGUCUUUGUAAGCUUGUUGUGUAAUUGUGUUUUUUUUUCUUCUUCUUUUGGAUAAGUUGUGUUGCAGAUCAUGGCCUAGCAUGACAUGGCACCUUGAUAUGUCAUCACAUGUGUAUCUUGUAUUUCAUUAGUUGACCUUGCACUUUAUCCUUGUUUAAUUCCACUACCAAUUUUCUUACAUAGCA